AUGAAUAUCCAAUCAGAAUUAUUGAACGCGAAAGGCGGAGCCUAAAAGGCUCGAAAUCUUCACUAUAUAAAUGACAGGGAGUCAUCAGUUACCUCUAUUCCGCGUCGUAUUUCAAAGCUAGCUAAGCUAAUCGAAAGAACUGCCGGAGUGACCGAGAAGCCAAAGAUGAACACGAAAUUGGUGCUGCUAAUAGCCUUUGCCUGCUUGCUUGUUGUGAUCCAAGCAGCUCCUUUGAAUAAAUAUGGUUCAGAAGAGAUGGUAUACAACGAGAACAAGCAGUAUUACAAAGGGAAAAGAGAUGAAAUCCAAAUACCUCAGAGACGUGAAAUUUCGAAUCAGCCAAAGUAUGGUAUAAUAUGGUAUAAUGAACCUGCUACUGUUGCUAGUCAAUAACAACAUGGCCAUGUAAACACAUUUACAAAAUAACUUGCUGUAUUUUGUAUUGUGUAUCGAAUAUUACAACAAAGUAAAUUAUAUUAAAAGAGUAAAGAAACGCAA